rnacentral:rRNA from 1 species
UCCCCACCCGAUCCCAUUCCGAACUCGGUCGUUAAGCCCUCCAGAGCCAAUGGUACUUCGUCUCAAGGCGCGGGAGAGUAGGUCGCCGCCGGGU